CUCAAAUUGACAGAGACUCUAAACUGCUGAACAGAGCAUCUUCAGCAGUUGGCAAGUGGUUACUCUAAUGUGUCAAGAUCAUCAGAUGCCCAACCCCCAAUCCUGGAUUGUAGAAAUCCCAAAGGGAUCCAGCUGCAAGGAUUCCAGACAGAAAAGGCCCUCCAGAGAAACUUUCGAGGAACCAGCCAAAAUUUCUGAGUCACUCUGUCCUACCCCUUUGGCAUGAGCUAGAAUAAAACUUAGCUCACUAUACUAAAUUCUCCACCCAGAGGGUGGCACCAUACCUCCGGUUGACCUCUGACCGCACUCUGGGCUCCACCUCUCAAAGGUUCCAGACCACCUUUCAGUAUUGUCACCCAGGGGACCAAGUUCCCAAUGUGUGAAUCCUGGAGGACAAGCCACAUCCAAAAAACACAGCACCAAUACAAGAACUCAAUGCAUGUAAUGAUCUAAUUUUGUUUUUGUUUUAAAUAACAUGAAAAGAAGGCUGGAAGUUUAUGCAUCCCAAUUUUUCACAAUAAUUAAUUUGAGAUGCAAGAUUUUUACCACUUGUUUAUUUAAGAGAAGGAUUUUUCAUGUUUUACGUUUCGUGAUUGUUUUGCCCUGAAUAUGAAUUACUUCUUUAACCGAUAAUGUUACCAUAAAUGUUAGGCAGACAUACAGUAGGGUAGAGACAUACAGCAGGGAGACCAACUGAGAAACAAAGACAAUGCCAUUUUGUUUUCUUCACUUUCUUAAGCAUUAGCUCUAGAUGAAAGCCACACAAACUCGUGUUUUCAAACUUCAGCUCAAGAGAAUGUAACCUCCUCUAAGGAUGGUGAUUAGGUCGGGUCCAUACAAAGUCCAGGGGAUGGGUGAGAAGUUGGAAAAACAAACUAAACGGAGACAUCCACCUAAGGAGUAGGUCAACACAGCUCAUUUUAUUUGUACAAGAACAAUGACCUCAGAGGAAGAAAAGGAUAUUCCUCAAAAGACCCAGUUAAUCACACAAAAGUAAUCCGAGACCUCAUUCAGCACACCUACCACUUUGGUUGGUGCUUGCCUACUGUCAUGAAAAUGUUUCUCUUCCUCUCUCUCCCUCUCAAAAUAAUCUAUCAUCUUGCUAUAAAUUCUGCCUGUACUCCAUAUGACAGCCUACAUAUCUUGCCUGAAAUCUGAGCUCAAAGACACAAAGAAUCGAGGUGUGUUGCCAGUUCUUUGAAAUGUUAGGACCCAGCUUCCCAGUAACAAUAAAGUUAUGAGAACUUUAUGCUAAUGAAACUUUAUGAACUUUGUGCUAAUUCAAACUUUGAUAUCUCAAAGCUUAUCAUUUGAAGAGAAAGCAAAAGAAUAGAGCAUGAAUGCUGAGGGUUAAGUCCACAUGAAGAGCAGAGUCACCAAGUUAUCUUCUGUUAAUCAGUCUGAAAAUAAUGCCUAAGGUGAUUUCAUUCUGAAGCAGGCUGUUGCAAAGCUGUAUCUCCUUGUAAGCACUUGGUACAUUUUUCUGUGACUCGAAAGAGAUGAUUAGUUCCAUGCUGAAUGUCUUCAUUUGUUACAAAAUUUUCCUCUGAAUUGGAAUAUUCAGUUUUAAUAUGAAGUUGAAAUAUUAUUUUUCUUCUAAUCAUUAAUUAUCUGCAUUUAUG
rnacentral:lncRNA from 1 species